AUGGACACGGAAGAGCUGGCCAUGGGAAGGAAUGACACGGCCCAAUGGAGCAAAAGCAGAGUCCAGAUCGUUGCCGAUGUGGUCCGCUCAGAUGUUGACAGGGGUGACAAAAAAGUGCAAAUGAAGAAUAUCCUGGAGUCGAAGCCCAUGGCCUCACAAUUCCGUAGUUCUGCUACAAAGCAGGGGAUACCUAAGUUUGCUUCUCUCACAACGCCAGGAUCCAUGGACAGGAACAACUCAGGGCCUAUUGCUGGUAUCCUGCGACAUAUGAUGGGCCAAAAUGCGACAUAUGCUGUUCUUAUUCACACGGAAUAUUUUGAGUUCAUUCCAUUGGAGGAAUUCAACUCGGGGAGCAGUGACUAUGUUAAUUACUCAGAGACAGAGCCGAAUGUGCUUAUUGAAGUUCUAAUAACUACCUUUGCAGCUGGGAUAAUUGUAUGGUUGAUAUCUACAACGAUGAACAUCAAGCCGGUGAUCUCUAGAUGCUUGGGCAAGGAUGUACGCAUUCUGAUUGCUGUUGCUGUUGUGCUGGCGUCUUCCACACAUGUGCGGUCUGCUCCUGAAGAUAUUCCACCUGUCGUGGCCACAGUUUUCGGUGAAGGAGUGGAUUCAUACAACCCAUUUCUCAAUGUUAUGCACACGUUGCUAGAAGCAAACACGGAACCUGAUGAGUACGAUAAAUAUUUUCUUCCUCAGGAGAAGCAGCCAGGACCACCAGCUUGGUGGAUCAGUGUCGAGGUGAAAGGUACGGUGAAGAUAUUGGACGCAGUGCCCUCAUGUAUUUCAGAUCAGAUAAUAUAUACCUCGUUGGAUUUAUGA
rnacentral:rRNA from 1 species